rnacentral:tRNA from 1 species
AAGUAAGUGGCAGAGUGGUUAUGCGAUUAACUUGAAAUUAAUCUAUGUGGGUUCAAUUCCCCCCUUUCUUG